AUUUGCAGAGUGAUUAUAAUGAUAACACAUGGAAUUUAAGCUGAAUAUGAAGGAAAAUCAAGACAUAUCAUGUGAAGAGGAAGAGAUUGUAAAAAGUAGCAGGAAAAAUAAAUUCUGCUGUGAUUAAACAGACACACAUCACUUGCUGUGCCACGGUGAAAGAAGCUUGUGGUUCACCUUUGCUGAAUUAGUACCCACUGAGCACUGCAAAUAUUUAAAAUGUCAAUCCAUUUGAUAAUGUCAGGGAGGCCUGCAAAUACCACAAAAUGGCACCAAGGAAGCAUUCAACACAGACAAAAGAGCAUUUAACGUCUCUCUCCUUCAAGCUGCUUAAUUCCAAAAGGCAACAGAGGAGGACACCAUACUAGUGUGAAGUUCGGAAAUGUCAGCAAAACCACAGACUACCCAGAAAUCUCAUGAUCUUCGCAUAACCUGCUGGUACUUGAUGCAAACCCACAAUGCAACUAUGCUUUUGGAGUAUUUUU